UACGGGGGGAGCAAGCGUUGUUCGGAUUUACUGGGCGUAAAGGGCGCGUAGGCGGCGCGACAAGUCACUUGUGAAAUCUCUGGGCUUAACUCAGAACGGCCAAGUGAAACUGUUGUGCUAGAGUGCAGAAGGGGCAAUCGGAAUUCUCGGUGUAGCGGUGAAAUGCGUAGAUAUCGAGAGGAACACCAGAGGUGAAGACGGGUUGCUGGGCUGACACUGACGCUGAGGCGCGAAAGCCAGGGGAGCAAACGGG
rnacentral:rRNA from 1 species